rnacentral:rRNA from 1 species
GACGAACGCUGGCGGCGUGCUUAACACAUGCAAGUCGAACGGAAAGGCCUGCUUUCCCUUGUGGAUUGCGGGUACUCGAGUGGCGAACGGGUGAGUAACACGUGAGUGAUCUGCCCCCAACUUGGGUAUAAGCCUGGGAAACUGGGUCUAAUUCCCGAUAGGACUGCAGGGUGGUGCCUGUGGUGGAAAACGAUUUUCUAGUGGUUGGGGAUGAGCUCGCGGCCUAUCAGCUUGUUGGUGGGGUAAUGGCCUACCAAGGCGGCGACGGGUAGCCGGCCUGAGAGGGUGGACGGCCACAUUGGGACUGAGAUACGGCCCAGACUCCUACGGGAGGCAGCAGUGGGGAAUAUUGCACAAUGGGCGGAGGCCUGAUGCAGCGACGCCGCGUGGGGGAUGACGGCCUUCGGGUUGUAAACUCCUUUCGACCGCGAGGAAGCCACCUGGUUGGAAGGGUGGUGACGGUAGUGGUAGAAGAAGCACCGGCUAACUACGU